CAGAAAAUAGUUUAUAUAAAAUAUUAAUUUUGGAGAUUAAAGAUGGGAGUUUCUCUUUUCUGA
rnacentral:tRNA from 1 species